UUUCUAGAGCCACCAGUAGAUUUAUAAUAGUCCUUCUGAAUUGGCUUUCUGACAUUGAAUUGUAAUCCAGAUUUUGUAACUCUGUGGGAGAGAGGGCUGUUUCUGAUUCUUUUUUUUGAGGUGAGGUUUUCCUUCUAGUCAUUUUGCUCAGUGCAGAGUGGCCAAAAACAAGUUGUAUUGGGAAAAGGAGAAAAAGAGAGAGAGAUAAGGAAAGAAAAGAGAAAAAGAAAAAAGAGAAAGAAGGAAAAAAAAGGAAAAAAGAGAAAGAAAAAGAAAGGGGAAAAAAGGGGUGGGGGAAGCAAUCAGAAAUCAAAAAGAAAGAAAAAAAAACAAAACAAAAAAACAAAAAACACGGGGGAGUAUCUUCUGAUUUUCUAUACUUUAAGUCCCUUGACUUCCCCUGGAACUUGUCCGUCUCGCUGGUCUUCUGGGGGAGGGGCCUGCUGUGCUGAUUCUCAGGUGUUAGCACUUGGGGGAGCUGCUCUGCCCCUGCCUGGUGCAGGGCUCAGUGGGGGUUGUUCACCCCGUGAGGCCCCGGGAGGAAGCCACAGUGGCGGGGGCAGCUCUGGGACCCUGGAGUCAGCUCCCGCAGUAGCUCCGGGGCUCUCCGUCUGCAGGGCCUGGAGGCUCCCGGGCGGGGCCGCUGAUCUGCUCAGUUCCAGGCAGGAGCGUCCUCGCUGUCCUGGGCCCUCCCGGCCUCUGCCUGUCCCGGGGGAGGCCGGAUCCUGGGCUGUGUCCCGGCGCCCUGUGCUCCGGGGCCUGCGCUGUUGGAUUCGCGCUCCCGCCCCGCAGCCUCCUCCGCGGAGCCGCCGCCCGAGCCCCUCCGAGCUGUUCCCGGAGCCGCGCCGCCCCCUCCGCGGAGCUUCUUCCUCCGCCCGAGCCGCCGCCGCUGAGCUGUUCCCGGAGCCGCGCAGCCCCCUCCGCGGAGCCGCCGCCCGAGCCCCUCCGAGCUGCUCCGGGUCCCGCCGAGCACUGCAGCCCUUAGGGAGCUCGGCGCACUCUCCCGGGGCGCAGGUGCCUGUUAGUGUCCCCGGGAGCCCGAGGGCAUCCCCGCCCUCCUGGGUCCUGCUCUAACUCCCUGCGGGCCCCUUUCCCCCCCGGGAAGGUUGGUGCAGCUCGGGACGGGGCUCUCCUGUCCUGGGGACACUCGCCCCGGCCUCAGCCCGGC
rnacentral:lncRNA from 1 species